GAUGAACGCUGGCGGUAUGCUUAACACAUGCAAGUCGAACGGACUCUUCGGAGUUAGUGGCGGACGGGUGAGUAACGCGUGAGAAUCUGGCUUUGGGUUCGGGACAACCACUGGAAACGGUGGCUAAUACCGGAUGUGCCGAGAGGUAAAAGAGAAAUUGCCUGAAGAUGAGCUCGCGUCUGAUUAGCUAGUUGGUGAGGUAAAGGCUCACCAAGGCAGCGAUCAGUAGCUGGUCUGAGAGGAUGACCAGCCACACUGGGACUGAGACACGGCCCAGACUCCUACGGGAGGCAGCAGUGGGGAAUUUUCCGCAAUGAGCGAAAGCCUGACGGAGCAAUACCGCGUGGGGGAAGAAGGCUCUGGGGUUGUAAACCUCUUUUCUUAGGGAAGAACAAAAUGACGGUACCUAAGGAAUCAGCAUCGGCUAACUCCGUG
rnacentral:rRNA from 1 species